rnacentral:rRNA from 1 species
AUUGAACGCUGGCGGCAGGCUUAACACAUGCAAGUCGAGCGAGCGGCGGAAGGGAGAGUAAUGUAUGGGGAUCUGCCUGAUAGAGGGGGAUAACUAAUGGAAACGGUGGCUAAUACCGCAUAAUAACGGAUGAACCCAUAUGGGAUUAGCUAGUAGGUGGGGUAAAGGCUCACCUAGGCGACGAUCGCUAGCUGGUCGGAGAGGAUGAUCAGCCACACUGGGACUGAGGCACGGCCCAGACUCCUACGGGCGGCAGCAGUGGGGAAUAUUGCCCAAUGGGCGCAAGCCGGAUGCAGCCAUGCCGAGUGUAUGAAGCAGGCCUUAGGGUUUUAAAGUACUUUCAGCGGGUAGGCGUUACCCGCAGAAGAAGCACCGGCUAACUCCGUGCCAGCAGCCGCGGUAAUUC